AACCUGCCCUUUAGAGGGGGAUAACGUUUGGAAACGAACGCUAAUACCGCAUAACAUAGUAUCAUCACAUGGUGAAGCUAUCAAAGGAGAAAUCCGCUAAAGGAUGGGCUCGCGUCCGAUUAGGUAGUUGGUGAGGUAACGGCUCACCAAGCCGACGAUCGGUAGCCGGACUGAGAGGUUGACCGGCCACAUUGGGACUGAGACACGGCCCAGACUCCUACGGGAGGCAGCAGUGGGGGAUAUUGCACAAUGGAGGAAACUCUGAUGCAGCGACGCCGCGUGAGGGAAGAAGGUCUUCGGAUUGUAAACCUUUGUCUUCAGGGACGAGUAGAUGACGGUACCUGAGGAGGAAGCCACGGCUAACUACGUGCCAGCAGCCGCGGUAAUACGUAGGUGGCGAGCGUUGUCCGGAUUUACUGGGUGUAAAGGGUGCGUAGGCGGGGAAAUAAGU
rnacentral:rRNA from 1 species